UACGUAGGGGGCAAGCGUUAUCCGGAUUUACUGGGUGUAAAGGGAGCGUAGACGGUUAUGUAAGUCUGGAGUGAAAGCCCGGGGCUCAACUCCGGUUCGGCAUUGGAUACUGGCAAACUAGAAUGUGGUAGAGGUAAAGGGAAUUCCUGGUGUAGCGGUGAAAUGCGUAGAUAUCAGGAGGAACAUCGGUGGCGAAAGCGCUUUACUGGACCAUUAUUGACGCUGAGGAACGAAAGCCAGGGGAGCAAAUGGG
rnacentral:rRNA from 1 species